UAACGAAUAUUGGGCAAUGGGCGCAAGCCUGACCCAGCAAUGCCGCGUGCGGGAUGAAGUCCUUUGGGAUGUAAAUCGUUGUCAGGGGCUUGCAAGCAAUUGGAGUGAACAAUUCCGAAAGUUGAGCAGCCCCAGAGGAAGUCUCGGCUAACUCUGUGCCAGCAGCCGCGGUAAUACAGAGGAGGCAAGCGUUGUUCGGAAUCACUGGGCUUAAAGCGCGCGUAGGCUGCCUGGUAAGUGCUUCGUGAAAUUCCGUUGCUCAACAACGGGACUGCGCGGCAUACUGCUGGGCUUGAGGUUGGUAUGGGUGCCUGGAACUUUAGGUGGAGCGGUGAAAUGCGUAGAUAUCUAGAGGAACACCGGUGGCGAAAGCGGGGCACUGGGCCAAUUCUGACGCUGAGG
rnacentral:rRNA from 1 species